GUCCUCAUAUGCGGCGUGCGUCGUCCAUCUAAAGAGGAACAUCAUAGCGAUUUUCAAAUUCGAGGCUCUGGGAUCAUUGGUUUCAAGUGCAGCAAGAUCUUACCAACUAAUUGAUUUCAACAAACUUUUUGCGGAGAUCAACUCAAUGAAAAGCAAAUGUGCAGAGACUACCUAACGAGUAUUGGUAUUGAGCAUUGGACAAGAUCUCAUUUCGUGGGAGAUCGUUUCAACGUAAUGACAAGCAACAUCGCAGAGUCGUUGAACAAUGUCUUGACAAUGGCGCGCGAUUACCCAGUUAUAUCGAUCCUUGAGACCAUCCGAACAACUUUAGUUACUUGGUUUGCCCUCCGCCACGAAGCAGCCCAACUUGAGGAAAACAUAUUGCCACCAAAGGUCAAUGAAAUGGUAACUGAAAAUUUUGAAAAGGGAGCAGGCUAUAUGGUGUACAAAAUAGGCGAUGGCAUAUAUGAGGUCAGGGGUAAAGACAAUUCAGGUUUCGCAGUCCAUUUGUGGUAGAGGACAUGCACUUACAGAGAGUUUCAGCUACUAACGAUCCUCUGUAGACAUGAAAUAGCUGCAACUAUUUAAGAAGGGGUCAGAGUUGAUACAUUGGUGGGUGUGAAGCACAUGGUACCAAAUCUGCGAUUGUGGGAGGAGGGAAGCUUGCUCCCCCUUUUGUUCGAAGACCACCCGGACGCCCACGAAAAUCACGUAUAUUUUCAAAGGGCGAGUUUAAGCGGACUUCACGGAAAUAUUGCACACGCUGUCGUUCACUAGGGACAACCGUGCAACGUGUUGCGGUCCAAUACUGGAGCUGUAAGAUCAAUAAAAGGGAACUGUUUUUUGACGGUGAAGCAUGAUGUAAAAUCAAUAGUCCAACUACUACAAAGUAAACGUCAAGCAGGAGAUUUCUUUCCCUGAUGUUACCAGACGAAAUCUUGUUGCAAAAGGGUAUCUACUACACUUCAGUAGGAAGUCGGCUAGGGUUAGAAAAUUUUCAAUGUGCAUAACCUAACUCUAACUGCAAAUGUAUAAUUAUCAAGAUGAGGGGAGCCUCAUCCAGAUGUGGAGAAAACAAUGUAAUGACCAU